AUGCCGGCAACAGCACCUCUGCUGAGUGGGAAGUUCCUCAUGUUGGUCACCAAAACGGCCGUCCCCAACCACGCGCCACUGUUUGCAGCAAGGCACAAUGCCAACCAUACCUGUAAUAAAAUACAGGAGAAAGGCCACUAG
rnacentral:rRNA from 1 species